CGCUGGCGGCUGCCUAUACAUGUAAGUCGAACGGUAACAGAGAGUAUCUUGCUACUUUGCUGACUAGUGGCGGACGGGUGAAUAAUGUCUGGGGAUCUGCCUGAUGGAGGGGGAUAACUACUGGAAACGGUAGCUAAUACCGCAUAAUGUCGCAAGACCAAAGCGGGGGACUUUCGGGCCUCGCACCAUCAUAUGAACCCAGAUGGGAUUAUCUAGUAUGUAAGGUAAUGGCUUACCUAGGCCACUAUCCCUAUCUGGUCUGAGAAGAUGACCCCCCACUCUGGAACUGACACACGGUCCACACUCCUACGGGAGGCAGCUGUGGAGAAUAUUGCACAGUGGGCGCAAGCCUGAUGCAGCCGUGCCGCGUGUAUGAAAAAGGCCUUCGGGUUGUAAAGUACUUUCACUCAAGAAGAAGGGUGUGAAAUUAAUACUUUCAUGCAUUGACGUUACUGACAGAAGACGCACCGGCUAACUCCGUGCCAGCAGCCGCUGUAAUACAGAGGGUGCAAGCGUUUAUCAGAUUUACUGGGCGUAAAGCGCACACACGCUGUUGUGUUAACUCAUAUGUGAAAUCCCCGGGCUCACCCUGAGAACUGCAUUUGACACUGGCAGCUAGACUCUUGUAGAGGGGGGUAGAACUCCGUGUGUAGCUGUGAAAUGCAUAGAGAUCUGGAGGAAUACCCGGUGGCGAGGGCGGCCCCCCCGGACAAAGAGUGACGCUCAGGUGUGAAAGAGUGGGGAGCAAACAGGAUUAGAUACCCCGGUAGUCCACGCCGUAAAAGAUGUGGACUUGGAGGCUGUUCCCCUGAGGAGUGGCUUCUGGAGAUAACGCGUUAAGUCGACCGCGCGGGGAGUACGGCCGCAAGGUUAAAACUCAAAUGAAUUGACGGGGGCCCGCACAAGCGGUGGAGCAUGUGGUUUAAUUUGAUGCAACGCGAAGAACCUUACCUAUUCUUGACAUCCAGAGAAUUUAGCAGAGAUGCUUUAGUGCCUUUGGGAACUCUGAGACAGGUGUUGCAUGGCGGUGGUCAGCUCGUGUUGUGAAAUGUUGGGUUAAGUCCCGCAAAGAGAGCAACCCUUAUCUUUUGUUGCCAGCACGUAAUGGUGGGAAAUCAAAGGAGACAGCCGGUGAUAAACCGGAGGAAGGUGGGGAGGAGGUCAAGUCAUCAUGGCCCCUAUGAGUAGGGGUACACACGUGCUACAAUGGCGCAUACAAAGAGAAGCGACCUCCUGAGAGCAAGCGGACCUCAUAAAGUGCGUCGUAGUCCGGAUGGGAGUAUUCAACUAGACUCCAUGAAGUAGGAAUCGUUAGUAAUUGUAAAUCAGAAUGUUACGGUGAA
rnacentral:rRNA from 1 species